GACGAACGCUGGCGGCGUGCUUAACACAUGCAAGUCGAACGGAAAGGCCCUGCUUUUGUGGGGUGCUCGAGUGGCGAACGGGUGAGUAACACGUGAGUAACCUGCCCUUGACUUUGGGAUAACUUCAGGAAACUGGGGCUAAUACCGGAUAGGAGCUCCUGCUGCAUGGUGGGGGUUGGAAAGUUUCGGCGGUUGGGGAUGGACUCGCGGGUUAUCAGCUUGUUGGUGGGGUAGUGGCUUACCAAGGCUUUGACGGGUAGCCGGCCUGAGAGGGUGACCGGCGACAUUGGGACUGAGAGACGGCCCAGACUGCUACGGGAGGCAGCAGGGGGGAAUAUUGCACAAUGGGCGGAAGCCUGAGGCAGCAACGCCGCGUGCGGGAUGACGGCCUUCGGGGUGUAAACCGCUGUCGCCUGUGACGAAGCGUGAGUGACGGUAAUGGGUAAAGAAGCACCGGCUAACUACGUG
rnacentral:rRNA from 1 species